CGAGCCGGCCGGGCGAUCGCGGCACCGAGUUAUCGGGGUCGAGGAAGGUCCGGGCUCCACAGGGCAGCGUGGUGGGUAACGCCCACCCGGGGAAACCCGCGGGACAGUGCCACAGAAAACAGACCGCCAUCUGGUUUCGGCCAGGUGGCAAGGGUGAAACGGUGGUGUAAGAGACCACCAGCGCCCGAGGUGACUCGGGCGGCUCGGCAAACCCCACGCGGAGCUAGAUCAAGAGGUUUGAGUGUUCGCACUUGAACUGUGCAGGCACUUGAGGGCGACCCGCCCGAGCUUGCAGGUAGAUCGCACGAGCGCAUCGGCAACGAUGCGCCCAGAUGGAUGAUCGCCGAACGGGAUCACCGCAAGGUGCCCGGGAACAGAACCCGGCCUACAGGCCGACUCGUCCG
rnacentral:RNase_P_RNA from 1 species